CGCACAUUGCACCUUAGAGUAUUCUUUAAGGUAUACCUGUUUGAGCGUCGUUUAGAACAAUAAAGCUUUGCUUUUGUGAUGGGUUAUGGUUUGGCAUUGGAUUUUAGGUCCAUUGAAAAUAACCAUUUCCUCAAACCUAGAAUGCGUUGUUCUGUUGAAAUAAUAAGCACAGUGAAAAUGUGUUGUAUAUUUCUCCAGAUUAUCGUUUGAACUUUGUUUCAAAAAACCAAUUUGUUCGACCUCAAAUCAAGUAAGAUUACCCGCUGAACUUAA
rnacentral:misc_RNA from 1 species